GACCAACUAAGUUUGUUCUGGGUAUAAGCUUUCAUGUGCAUGCACACUUCUUCAGAACGCUUAUACCCAGAACAAACUUAGUUGGUC